rnacentral:rRNA from 1 species
CAGCCGCCGCGGGAAUACAGAGGGUGCAAGCGUUAAUCGGAAUUACUGGGCGUAAAGCGCGCGUAGGUGGUUUGUUAAGUUGGAUGUGAAAUCCGGGCUCAACCUGGGAACUGCAUCCAAAACUGGCAAGCUAGAGUAUGGUAGAGGGUGGUGGAAUUUCCUGUGUAGCGGUGAAAUGCGUAGAUAUAGGAAGGAACACCAGUGGCGAAGGCGACCACCUGGACUGAUACUGACACUGAGGUGCGAAAGCGUGGGGAGCAAACAGGAUUAGAUACCCCCGUAGUCCCUGUCUCUUAUACAC